AUCCCCUGGAUCCCGGGCUCGCGGGGGCGCGGAGAAGAGGAUCCAGGAAAGGAGAGGGCCAUUGGCAAGGAACUGAGGUGGCCUUCGAUCAACAGCCCACAAGGAAUGGAAUCCUGCCAAUAACAAUCAAAUGGUCCGAGGCAUCCAAGCAUGGCCUAUUGCCUGUGUCUUUAUUCUGAACAGAACAGGGCAGCCUUGGGAAAAUGCUGGCUGCUCAGCUAGCUCACUUAAAAAAAAUCACCUGAAGACUUCCUCCAAAUGGUUCAUAACUGAUAGGAGGGGAUGGUUGCUAGUGUUAAGCAAGACGGGACAAAGGAGUGGAGACUGAACUUCAAUCAGAUAAACCCAAUAUUUAAACUGUAAGGUCCUUGGCUAUGGAAGGUGACUGGAGAACCAUUGAUCCCUGCAUUUUAUAGGAAAAGCAAGGGCCCAUUGGAACCUGUUGCUGUUGUGACUGGAGAGUGAAUUCUGCUGGUGGGAAGACGGAAAUUAGAACAAAGGAUUGUUUCUAAACAGAAUGCCUGCACGCAGAUAUGAAGAUGAGGGGAGUAAAUGCCUUCAGCAAAAUGAGGAAACAAAAUGUGGUGUGAAAGCUUCCCUGUGGGAGAGAAGAAGAAAGAAAAGUUUAUGCACCUUGCAAUUUCAAGCUAAACAAAAAAAAAAAGCCAUCUUUGCCUUCCUAAAAUAAAAUAAAAUCCUUACCCA
ensembl:lncRNA novel transcript